rnacentral:rRNA from 1 species
AUGAAGGCAUUUAAAAAUUCAAACGCAUUUGAUGGGGGUCACGGCCCAGGUGGCGACUCAGGUGGAGGCGGCUUUCAGGGCCCGGGUGCCGGUUCAAGCGGAGGAGGUUUUCACGGUCAGGGUUAUCCUGGUCAUCAAGGAGGAUAUAAUCAGCAACACGGCCAAGGGAAUCAGCAGCAGCAGCAAUCCGGCUAUCAAAGCAAGCCGAAGCAGUUGAGUAGCGGACAGUAUCAUGUCUUUACUACCAGUUUAUGUAAGAGGGACCAGAAACUCCACAAGAGGGCCGUCAAUGCCAUUGAGUCGGCAAUUCCACGUUAUCUACAUUGGUCGGAGCAGCCUAUUGUGUGGAGCAGAGAGGAUCACCUGCCCCGGGUUGAUAAUCCGGGUCACUUGGCUUUGGUAGUGGCACCUCAGGUUGGUGGAUACAAGUUUACUAAGGUACUCAUGGAUGGAGGCAGCAACAUCAACAUCCUCUACUAUGAGACGUUCCGCGGGAUGGGAUUGACGGAUAAAAAUCUUAAACAAUUCAACACUGUUUUUCACGGUGUGGUACCUGGUAAAUUGGCAUACCCAGUUGGGAAGAUUGAGCUGCAAGUAGCCUUUGAGGAUGAGUAUGACACCAGAGCAGAAAAAUUAACCUUUGAAGUGGUUAAGAUCAAAAGCCCAUAUCAUGCUAUGUUUGGGCGGCCGGCUUAUGCCAAGUUCAUGGCUCGGCCGUGUUACGUAUUUGCAGCUCAAGAUGCCGGGUCAUAA